UUAAUUAUUUGUAAAGUUAAACAUUCUUUGUAUGGAAUCAAUCGUCAUUACACCGAUAAUAGAUAUGAUUUUCACGACCUUUUUUAUUUAAUACUCGUCAUCUGGUCGAUCACGAUAUUCAUUUCGAAUGAUAUUCGAUAACUCAUGAGGUGUAUAUUGAUGUUUGAAGUCACGGACCCCGUUUACGAUGGACGUGCGAUGUAACUGGCUGUCAAAAGUACAAAACAUCUUACCAACCAGCAAUACAAUACUGAAGCAAAGGCUGCUAUUUGGCCGAUUCCACUUUAUGUUAAAAAGAAGAUAAUCAAGUUUUCAUGUACAAGGGUGAUAGUGACAACAGCAAACUGGCUGAUGUGUAUCUGAAAAAAGAUGCAGGGACACCACUGCUGCCAGAAAAGUUCACCUUGUCGAAGGAGCAAAUAUAUGUACGGUGUGUGAUAUGGUCACAGCAUGCCGU
rnacentral:lncRNA from 1 species